UCCUUGUUAGUACAAUGGCUAGUAUAGGGCACUCUCACUUUUCUUCUCGCGAAGAAGCGUACUGCUCAGAUCGGGGUUCAAUUCCCCGGCAGGGAA